CAGGGCCAAGAGACAGAUUUGCUUUCCUUUUUCUCAUGCUUGCAAGCUCCUUCACCUGGAAACAUGAUUUACCUGGGUCCUGCCAUGGUUUCUAGGCUUCUCAGUUUAGUGUCCCUUUGUCUCCUGGGAGCAAAGCAUACAGAAGCUGGAGUUACUCAGUUCCCCAGCCACAGGGUAAUAGAGAAGGGCCAGGCUGUAACUCUGAGAUGUGACCCAAUUUCUGGACAUGAUUAUCUUUAUUGGUAUCGACGUGUUAUGGGAAAAGAAAUAAAAUUUCUGAUAUACUUUCUGAGAGCGUCUAUGCAGGAUGAGUCCGGUAUGCCCAACAAGCGAUUCUCAGCUGAAAGGACUGGAGGGACGUAUUCUACUCUGAAGGUGCAGCCUGCAGAACUGGAGGAUUCUGGAGUUUAUUUCUGUGCCAGCAGCCAAGACACAGUGCUUCACAGUCAUGUCCUUGCUGUACAAAACCAUAGCCUUCUCCUCUCAACUCACAGCCGCCCAAAAGGAAGGCUUUCCCUGUGCCUCCUCCCCCAAGGGAGGGGAGAUAAAGAACCAGAACUAACUCAUGAAAUACAAGAGUAUUCCAAGAAGAUUUGGAUGAAAAUACUUGUAGUUUGGGGGAUCUCUGAAGUUCUUUAAACAGAACUCAAUCUAUGUGUUUCUGAUUUUAUUUUUUGAAGUGUUAUGUUGCCCUGGUUAUAAAGCACAGCAGCCUUCUUGUUUAUCCUGUUGCUCUGAAA